GAUGAACGCUGGCGGCGUGCCUAAUACAUGCAAGUCGAGCGAACGGACGAGAAGCUUGCUUCUCUGAUGUUAGCGGCGGACGGGUGAGUAACACGUGGAUAACCUACCUAUAAGACUGGGAUAACUUCGGGAAACCGGAGCUAAUACCGGAUAAUAUUUUGAACCGCAUGGUUCAAAAGUGAAAGACGGUCUUGCUGUCACUUAUAGAUGGAUCCGCGCUGCAUUAGCUAGUUGGUAAGGUAACGGCUUACCAAGGCAACGAUGCAUAGCCGACCUGAGAGGGUGAUCGGCCACACUGGAACUGAGACACGAUCCAGACUCCUACGGGAGGCAGCAGUAGGGAAUCGUCCGCAAUGGGCGAAAGCCUGACGGAGCAACGCCGCGUGGGUGAUGAAGGUCUUCGGAUCGUAAAACUCUGUUAUUAGGGAAGAACAUAUGUGUAAGUAACUGUGCACAUCUUGACGGUACCUAAUCAGAAAGCCACGGCUAACUACGUG
rnacentral:rRNA from 1 species